GAAUUCGGCUUGACAACCUGGUUGAUCCUGCCAGUGGUCAUAUGCUUGUCUCAAAGAUUAAGCCAUGCAUGUCUAAGCAUGAGCCAAAUAAUGGUGAAGCCGCGAAUGGCUCAUUACAACAGCCGUUGUUUCUUGGAUCUUGUUUUACUUGGAUAACUGUGGUAAUUCUAGAGCUAAUACAUGCAACCAAGCUCUGACCUUACGGAAGGAGCGCAUUUAUUAGACCAAGACCAAUUAGGCUCCGGCCUAGUAUCUGGUGACUCUGAAUAACUUUGCUGAUCACACGGUCCUCGCACCGGUGACAUAUCUUUCAAGUGUCUGCCCUAUCAACUGUCGAUGGUAGUUUAUGUGCCUACCAUGGUCGUAACGGGUAACGGAGAAUAAGGGUUCGACUCCGGAGAGGGAGCCUGAGAAAUGGCUACCACAUCCAAGGAAGGCAGCUGGCGCGCAAAUUACCCACUCUCAGCUCGAGGAGGUAGUGACGAAAAAUAACGAGACGGUUCUCUUUGAGGCCCGUCAUCGGAAUGGGUACAAUCUAAACCCUUUAACGAGGAUCUAUUGGAGGGCAAGUCUGGUGCCAGCAGCCGCGGUAAUUCCAGCUCCAAUAGCAUAUACCAAUUCUGCUGCUGUUAAAAAGCUCGUAGUUGGAUCUUUCCUGAGGGCCCAGUCUGUCUAACGGACUAGUACUGGGUUCCGAGGGUUUUACCUUGCUGGUUGUCUCAUGGUGCCCUUCAUUGAGUGCCUUGGGUGGCUAGCACGUUUACUUUGAAAAAAUUAGAGUGCUCAAAACAGGCGUUACAGCCCGAAUAGUGGUGCAUGGAAUAAUGGAAUAGGACCUCGGUUCUAUUUUGUUGGUUUUAGGAGCGCGAGGUAAUGAUUAAGAGGGACAGACGGGGGCAUUCGUAUUGCGGCGUUAGAGGUGAAAUUCUUGGAUCGCCGCAAGACGAACAACUGCGAAAGCAUUUGCCAAGAAUGUUUUCAUUAAUCAAGAACGAAAGUUAGAGGUUCGAAGGCGAUCAGAUACCGCCCUAGUUCUAACCGUAAACGAUGCCAAUUAGCGAUCUGCUGGCGUUAAUCAUGACCCAGCAGGCAGCUUCCCGGAAACGAAAAUUUCUCGGUUCAGGGGGAAGUAUGGUUGCAAAGCUGAAACUUAAAGGAAUUGACGGAUGGGCACCACCAGAUGUGAGCCUGCGGCUUAAUUUGACUCAACACGGGAAAACUCACCCGGCCCGGACACUGUAAGGAUUGACAGAUUUAUAGCUCUUUCUUGAUUCAGUGGGUGGUGGUGCAUGGCCGUUCUUAGUUGGUGGAGUGAUUUGUCUGGUUAAUUCCGAUAACGAACGAGACUCUAGCCUGCUAAAUAGUCUGUGGAUCGCUUUGUCCACAGCACUUCUUAGAGGGACAAGCGGCAUAUAGCCGCACGAAAAUGAGCAAUAACAGGUCUGUGAUGCCCUUAGAUGUCCGGGGCUGCACGCGCGCUACACUGAAGGAAUCAAUAUGCCUUUUUCCUUGUCCGAAAGGACUGGGUAACCAUUUGAAACUCCUUCGUGCUUGGGAUAGGGAAUUGUAAUUAUUUCCCUUGAACGAGGAAUAUCCAGUAAGUGUGGGUCAUAAGCUCACGUUGAUUACGUCCCUGCCCAUUGUACACACCGCCCGUCGCUACUACAGACGGAGCGAUUUAUCAAGGUGGUUGGAGUGCAGAUUUACCGGGCUCUGGCCUAUUAUUUCAGCAUGAAAACUACCGCGGUGGAUCGCUUGGAUGAAGUAAAAGUCGUAACAAGGUUCUCGUAGGUGAACCUGCAGAAGGAUCAAGCUUGGAUCCCGGGAAGCCGAAUUCCAGCACACUGGCGGCCGUUA
rnacentral:rRNA from 1 species